rnacentral:rRNA from 1 species
ACGCUCGACACCUACGAGAGGCAGCAGUGGGGAAUAUUGCACAAUGGAGGAAACUCUGAUGCAGCGACGCCGCGUGAGCGAAGAAGUAUUUCGGUAUGUAAAGCUCUAUCAGCAGGGAAGAAAAAGGACGGUACCUGACUAAGAAGCUCCGGCUAAAUACGUGCCAGCAGCUGCGGUAAUCUGAGCGGGCUGGCAAGGC